rnacentral:rRNA from 1 species
GAUGAACGCUGACAGCAUGCUUAACACAUGCAAGUCAACUGUGGCGGACGGGUGAGUAACGCGUAAAGAACUUGCCUCACAGAUAGGGACAACAUUUGGAAACGAAUGCUAAUACCUGAUACUGUGAGAGAGCUUUGCGUCCCAUUAGCUAGUUGGAGAGGUCACGGCUCACCAAGGCGAUGAUGGGUAGCCGGCCUGAGAGGGUGAUCGGCCACAAGGGGAAUGAGACACGGCCCUUACUCCUACGGGGGGCAGCAGUGGGGAAUAAUGAACAAUGGACCAAAGUCUGAUACAGCAAUUCUGUGUGCACGAUGAAGUUUUCGGAAUGUAAAGUGCUUUCAGUUGGGAAGCAGUACCAACAGAAGAAGUGACGGCUAACUACGUGCCAGCAGCCGCGGUAAUAC